AGGAUAAACGCUGGCGGCGUGCCUAACACAUGCAAGUCGAACGCGCUUUCGGGCUUCGGUGCGAGAGCGAGUGGCGGACGGGUGAGUAACACAUGGGUACCUACCUUGGAGUGAGGGAUACCGGCGAGAAAUCGCCGACAAUACCGCAUAGGCUUCUUCACAAGGGAAGCAAAGUGACGCGAGUCACGCUUUGAGAUGGGCCUGUGGCCGAUUAGCUAGUUGGGGGGGUAACGGCUUCCCAAGGCGACGAUCGGUAGCUGGUCUGAGAGGACGAUCAGCCACACUGGGAUUGAGAACGGCCCAGACUCCUACGGGGGCAGCAGUGAGGAAUUUUCCGCAAUGGAGGCAACUCUGACGGAGCAACGCCGCGUGCAGGAGGAAGGUUUUCGGAUCGUAAACUGCUUUUCUCGGGGACGAGCAAGGACGGUACCCGAGGAAGAAGCCCCGGCUAACUACGCGCCAGCAGCCGC
rnacentral:rRNA from 1 species